ensembl:lncRNA
AUGGGAGAUGGAGGCAGUGCUGGGGGGGAGGGAUGGCAUCAAGGUGGGAAUUGCCACUUUAUUGAGGCAGGGUGAAGGGGACAGGGAGGCUCUGCAGCAAGCUUGAGGCAACCCAGCAUGGAAGGGGUUAAGGCCUGUUAAUGAUUGCUCCCCACCAGGGACCUGGUGAGUAUUAAAGGGAACCUGUCUCCUGUCCCUGAGCGUGAACAGAGGCAGGGCUGGAGACAGCACAGAGGAUCCAGGAGCCGGUAACCCUUGUUCUGGGGCUCCCUUUGAAGCCUCCCCUAUAGCAGACAGUGAUCUGGGGAGGUUCCUCUGCCCCCAGAGCCCUUGGUAUGCUCCCCAAGUACACGGAAAGUUCCAGACUCUUCACUCCUGGCAGAAAGAGGUGUUCAGAGAGUCCCAGCAUCCAUCUGUGUCCCGGCUUGCCCCACGACUCCCAGGCUCGGACGGAAGAUCAGCUGAGCCUUCCAGGCCUGAGGCAGACUGGGUCUUCCUGGGCAAGUGAGGAGCAACACUCAACCUCAGCUUUGCCAUGAUCUCACCUGCCUUGCCACCCAGCUCCCCAUGCAGCCCCCAGGUGGAGGCCCCUCCCUCCAGGAGCAGCUGUCCCAGCUCCUGCCAGCUGCUGCAGGUGAUUUACUGCUUUUAUCUUCCCCAGACAAAGCCUCCACUUAGUAGACUCUCACCAGAGUCCGACUUACUAGCAGGGGAGAGGAGGAGCAGAUGGAAACAGCCCCCCACUCCGAUUCCUGGUGAGAAGGGUUGAGGCUGAGCUCUGAGCCCCUUCUGCCUCCAGAUCGGGCCCUGCUCUGAGAACUGCUCCAUCAGAGAGAGAUUCAGGCCUAUGCAUAAGGUGGGGUCCAGCACAGCCAUGAUGAGGGCCCGGGUAGUGGGCAGUAGGUAGGCGGCUGCCCUCCCAGACCUCCGACCCAGGCACCUGUUGCUGCGCUGUUUAUGGGGCCCCCACCCCACAUCAGACCAGGUCUCCAGACCUGUAGUCCACAGAUGUUACUGGGAAGAAGGCUUGAUACUCCCAUGGCCGCAUUCUUGGAAGGGGACAUUUCCCUGCCAAAGCAUGAAGCUCCCCCUUUCCUGGAGAUGAAGGACUUGGGUCAGGUGAAACCAGGGAGAGAGGAGCUUUGCCUUGUUUCUCCUGUCACCAUGGCUAGGGCAAUGGCACCCUCCCCACCACGGGCCUUCCUCACUUCCCUCCCAGAGUAAGGACCAGACACUGCCUCCCUUUCCCCGUUGUCUGAGCUGGUGAGAAAUUUGUGUUGUCUACUGAACAAUGCAUCCCUUAGUACCAUUGUUUUACUGUUAAAAUGAGGAGUCACGGGCAUAACAGCUUGACUCUCUCAAAUUGCUGGAUCAGAAACAAGAAGGCAUUGGUAGCUUUUGAGGCUGUGGAGGGAGAGCUAUCGGCCCAGAUUCAUUACUCUCCAAAUAUUCACUUUGAAAAAUUCCUUCCCUUGGUGUGGGCUGGGUGGUUCCCUGCUCUCCAUGGGACACCAGGACCAGAUCUGCUGAGUAGGAAUGAGGAGAAAUGGUUCUGGUGACCUCCUGCAGACCCAGAAGCAAACAGCUGGGCCGCCUCAGCCUCUGCAGGGCAGGGGUUUGGGAUUCAGCUCAGACCUGGGGAAGAGGCAUAGUUAACUGUUGCCCUGCCUGUCGCCCCAGGACCCUUUCCCUGCACUGUGGGGCUGGGCGAGGGAAGGGCUGGAGCUUUGUUUUCUGUGCUGCACCCAGCUCAGUCACUGGGGCUACCGAGGGCGGGAACAAAAUGUGGAGCUGGCUGAGGGCAGCACCUCCUCUCCCCUUAGCAGAAAAAAAAAACCCAGGCGCUGUCAGUGUGAGGAGGGUGGGCAGCUUGAGAAGCUGGCUCCCCAUGGAGGGACCGUGCCCCCCUUCCUGCUGGCGACAGCCUCUGGCUUGUCAUAGGAUGACAGUUCGGACCAACUACAGAGGACUGCGUGUUCAGGCAGCUAAAGUCAAGCCACCCCCUUGGGAUUGGUGUUCAAUAAUUCAUCAGCCAAAAGGGACACUGGCCAGGGGUUCUGAUGGCUCCUGUGACUCACACUUAACCCCUUCGUCUCAGGGUCCCAAGAGGUGGCAAUGUCAUGGGCACUGGCAGGGAGACAGAGCAGGGCAGCCCUUUACCAGCCAAUAGGAAUUGCAAUGUUUUAAUAACUGGCAUGGUUAUGCUGACUAUCUGUCCUGGUUAUCGUAGUUUUUCAGAAGACAAAUGGAAUUCCAUUAAGUAGAAGAAUCAGCUAAAAGAUAAGAUGAUUCAAGGUAGCAUUGAAGACCAGCAGGGAGCUCCCUGCAUGGCAUGCUUAUUCUCUGUGUCACUCACACUUACAC